rnacentral:rRNA from 1 species
CCUACGGGAGGCAGCAGUGGGGGAUAUUGCACAAUGGGGGAAACCCUGAUGCAGCGACGCCGCGUGUGGGAAGACGGUCCUCUGGAUUGUAAACCACUGUCCCCAGGGACGAAGAUGACGGGACCGGGGGAGGAAGCGCCGGCUUACUACGUGCGAGCAGCCGCGGUAAUACGUAGGGAGCGAGCGUUGUCCGGAAUUACUGGGUGUAAAGGGAGCGUAGGCGGGACUGCAAGUGGGCUGUCACAUCUACCGGCUCAACCGGUAGCCGCACUCAAAACUGCCGUUCUUGAGUGCAGUAGAGGCAGGCGGAAUUCCUAGUGUAGCGGUGAAAUGCGUAGAUAUUAGG